rnacentral:lncRNA from 1 species
CCUGGACUGUAUAGAUGACUGGUUGAUGAGAUCCUUCACGUGCCCCUCCUGCAUGGAGCCAGUUGAUGCAGCACUGCUCUCAUCCUAUGAGACUAAUUGAGCCAGGGUCUCUCAUCUGACUUCAAGUGAACCAUCAUUUUUGGUGGUUUUGAUCUUUCGUCACUGAGCCCAAAGAGCCAGGGAUUAGGAAUUAAGAUCAUGCACAAAAAGUUUCCUAAAAAUUCCUAGAUGGC